rnacentral:lncRNA from 1 species
GCGGCCAGUGUGAGGGCUUGGCAUGUAACGUGGAUGGUUGCUUCUGCCGAGUACAUGCAUGUACUUCUGACUGGGGUGUGCGUGUGUUCUGUCCCUGGCUCUGAAAGUGGGCGCAAGGGACCGCUACCUUACAUCCAGCCUUGUUUUCUGGCCCCAAAGGUUCUUCCCUGGGAACCAUGGGCUGGGAGCAGAGCACUGCCUGCACCUCCAUACUCACUGACAUGGAGGACAGGAAAGUUCUGUGAGCCUCGAUCAGCCAUGUGGGUUCCGCUGUGCCGCACGUUUACAAUUCUAAACAGAGAUUUAAUUUCAACCAAAUCCUGCUGAGAAACAGACAUUAUGGACUAAAUGGAGGUAAAUUACUGAAAAUUUAAUAUAAUUAUUAUAAGUUGUUUUGUUUAAUGUUACAAAUUUAUUGCCCCAUAUGACUCUAAAAAGAUCAGAUUUACAAUGAAUUAUAUUCUCCAUUAUUUUCCUAUGUA